UCUUUUAACCGCCUCUACAACCCUUAUCCGACCCCUCUAGACUAUAUCCACCCUUUGUAUAGCCUAAUGUCAUCAAAAGACUAGAUAGAGACGGAUAUUUACCUUUUUCUUUUUGGAAAUCGAGGUCCUUGCGUAGAGGAGAAGGAGAUCUACACUUUUCCCUUCAGCUGGAAGUGCAACCAGGACUCCCUUCCACCUCGAAUCCCUCUUCCUUCUUCUUUUUUUUCUUCUUCUUCUUCUCUUUUUCUUUCUCUCUGUGUCGUCUGAGAACCCUUCCCCUCUUCUCUCUGUUUCACUCCCGUGAGCCAGCUCAAACCCUCCAAUUAAAUCACAUCAAAACACUAUUCACCCUUUUUUUAAUAUUAUUAAUUUCCCAUUUUGCCCUUGCCACUUCGAUAUAUCUGCAAUUAUGCCAUUAUCUUUUGAUUCCUUCCCAUUUUACCCCUUAUAUCAAUUUUAAAGGACUAUUCUAUCCUUUUUUAUAU
rnacentral:lncRNA from 1 species